rnacentral:rRNA from 1 species
AUACGGAGGGUGCAAGCGUUACUCGGAAUCACUGGGCGUAAAGCGCGCGCAGGCGGUCUUUUAAGUUGGAUGUGAAAGCCUACGGCUCAACCGUAGAACUGCAUCCAAAACUAUUAGACUAGAGUGUGAGAGAGGAAGAUGGAAUUAGUUGUGUAGGGGUAAAAUCCGUAGAGAUAACUAGGAAUACCAAAAGCGAAGGCAAUCUUCUGGAACACUGCUGACGCUGAGGCGCGAAAGCGUGGGGAGCAAACAGGAUUAGAAACCCGAGUAGUCC